rnacentral:rRNA from 1 species
ACUUAAGCAUUUCAAUAAGCGGAGGAAAAGAAACUAACAAGGAUUCCCCUAGUAACUGCGAGUGAAGCGGGAAAAGCUCAAAUUUAAAAUCUGGUGGUUCUUUGGCCGCCCGAGUUGUAAUUUAGAGAAGCGUCUUCCGCGCUGGACCGUGCACAAGUCUCCUGGAAUGGAGCGUCAUAGAGGGUGAGAAUCCCGUCUUUGGCACGGAUGCCUGGUGCUUCUGUGAUGCGCUCUCGAAGAGUCGAGUUGUUUGGGAAUGCAGCUCAAAAUGGGUGGUGAACUCCAUCUAAAGCUAAAUAUUGGCGAGAGACCGAUAGCGAACAAGUACCGUGAGGGAAAGAUGAAAAGCACUUUGGAAAGAGAGUGAAACAGUACGUGAAAUUGUUGAAAGGGAAACGCUUGAAGUCAGUCGCGUCGACCGAGACUCAGCCUUGCCUUGGCUUGGUGUACUUCUCGGCACGACGGGUCAGCGUCAAUUUUGCCCCUCGGAUAAUGGCAAGGGAAAGGUGGCACCUUUGCAGGUGUGUUAUAGUCUCCUGUCGCAUGCGAGGGGUGAGAUUGAGGAACUCAGCACGCACCUCCGUGGUGUUGGGGCCCUUUGGCCCACAUAACGUGCUUAGGAUGCUGGCGUAAUGGCUUUAAACGACCCGUCUUGAAACACGGACCAAGGAGUCCAACACGCCCGCGAGUGUUCGGGUGGAAAACCCGUGCGCGCAAUGAAAGUGAAAGUUGGGACCUCUGUCGUGGAGGGCACCGACGCCCGGACCAGACCUUCUGUGACGGAUCUGCGGUAGAGCGUGUGUGUUGGGACCCGAAAGAUGGUGAACUAUGCCUGAAUAGGGUGAAGCCAGAGGAAACUCUGGUGGAGGCUCGUAGCGAUUCUGACGUGCAAAUCGAUCGUCAAAUUUGGGUAUAGGGGCGAAAGACUAAUCGAACCAUCUAGUAGCUGGGUUCCUGCCGAAGU